CUACGGGCCGCAGCAGUAAGGAAUAUUGCGCAAUGGAGGCAACUCUGACGCAGCCAUGCCGCGUGCAGGACUGAAGGCCUUAUGGGUCGUAAACUGCUUUUAUUUAGGAAUAAACUUUCGUACGUGUACGAGACUGAAGGUACUAAAUGAAUAAGCACCGGCUAACUCCGUGCCAGCAGCCGCGGUAAUACGGAGGGUGCAGGCGUUAUCCGGAUUUAUUGGGUUUAAAGGGUGCGCAGGCGGACUAUUAAGUCAGAGGUGAAAUCCCGGAGCUCAACUUCGGAACUGCCUUUGAUACUGGUAGUCUUGAAUACGGUUGAAGUAGGCGGAAUGUAGCAUGUAGCGGUGAAAUGCAUAGAGAUGCUACAGAACACCGAUCGCGAAGGCAGCUUACUAAGCCGAUAUUGACGCUCAGGCACGAAAGCGUGGGGAGCGAACAGGAUUAGAUACCCCGGUAGUC
rnacentral:rRNA from 1 species